CCUAGUUAAAAUCUCAACCCACUCGUUAUGUUGUGGCCCAAAUAGUAUUUUUGCCCCACCAAUUUCCAUUAUAAAUAUUUAGCCCAUUAAUUAUAGUGUAGACCAAUACCAAUUAUUUUUUGUCUGUUAACAUUUCAAGCACAUACAUUUUUCCAGAUUUCUGCUCAUAUCAUUAAAAUAAAAUAAUUACACAAACAUAAAUUACAGCCAAAAGUAAAAAGGAAACUGAAACCCACUAAAAAAUUACACAAACAGAAAUUACAGAAAAGUCAAGCACUUUGAAGUUUUUUUUUUGAGAAAGUGUAGUCGUAUUCAUAUGAAAGCAGAGUACAGCAUCACGGCGUCGAGCUUAUUAGGCUAGGAUCCACUAGAUCCACUACCAGCCAUCAUCCUCCACCACGGAAGGACACCUAGGAUGGGAUCUCGCGGCGUGUGGUGCUGGUGCCCCUGGAUUCACGCUCCUCAAACAAGCAUGGGAGGGGAUCACGAGCACGCCGCCGCUUCGGUGUCCAUCGCCAUCUAGCUCCCGUCUGCGCCGGCUUGGACGCGUAGACGCGGGGUCACAAGCCCGUCGCCGCCGGAGUACCAAUUACGUUGGUGACCUCGAGCACGCCCCUCGGCUAUUCCGUCGCGCCAGGCCCAUCCAAGUCCACGAGCCCGUCGUGGUUCUCUCCGUUCGGCACGCCAACGAGGGAGCCGAUCGUGCCCUGCAGCGACUCGGGCACAGGACACAGCAACGGCACCGGCGCCAGGUCGGCCUUCAGGGGCGUCGCCGCCAAUAUGGACGAGGCCGUCGUCGAGGCGGCAAGCGCCCUGCAGCUACACGGGUACCGGUCGCGGGUGAAGCAGAAGCCAUCCCGCUGGCGCUGUACACCGCGUCCGCCGUCGCACCGUUUGGCCUUCGGUGGCAGCGUCCGGCACAGCGCUGCUGCCCGGCGACCGGUCGAUGCAGACCCCUCGGCGGCCCAGCGCGGCAACCGCAACGGGUUCGAUGGCGGCCUGAGCGUGGUGGACUCGUUGGGGAUGGCGGCCUGAGCGUGGUGGAUUCGUUGGGGAUGGCGGCCUUCGGUGAGGUGACGGAGGAAGUGGAAGAUCUGGAAGAUGUGGAUUAGGGGACGGAGAAAGGAAGGCGCUGGGAGGAUCUGGAAGCGGGAUGCUCGGCGGAAUAAAGAGGCGAAUAAAUGCGAUGACUCCUCGUGGAUGGGGAAGAAACAUGAGGGAUGGGAAUUAGUCUGCCACCGUUGGAUGCGAGAGGAUCUGACGGCUGUGUCUGGCGAUCCGUGUGAAGGUAGAAGUAACCUAGGAUACAUGCAUGCUUCAGCUAGGAAUCUAAUGGACUUUUGUUGACCUCAGCCCAGGACCGAGCAAGGCAGCCCAGAUUUUGAACUAGUUUUUUUUUCUGUUUUGCAAAUAACUAAAUAAGGCACCCUUCUAAAAUAAUCUGCAAAAAACAUUUAUCACAUAUACCCCAGUACAGUUUUUACAUCUGACAUACUACAUAUAUUUAAAAAAAUUAUUUAGUUAUUUAUCCUAAAUAGGUUGAACACUAUUAUUUCCGGUCAUAGAAUACCCAAAGAACACUUUUCGGAAUAUUUUGAUAUAUUAAACAUAUUGUUUUGAGUGAACAUCGAUCAAUUAUGUUUUUUAUAAAUUUAAAAUAUAUUUUUAACACUAGUAAAUAUUUUGAAAUAUUACUAAUAUUUUGUAGCAAACAUUUGAAAAUUUAAUUCAUGGUUUGUAGUCAAAUGAUUAAACAUUUUAUACUAACUAUUGACCUAGCCAUAGUCAAUGAUGUGCGGCAGUGGGAAAGACUUGUUAGAAUUUUAGCAAUUAUUGUGUAAGUAACCAUCUCAAUCUUUUACCACGGACUAUAGGGAUCAUUUAUGACACCAUGUGAAGCUUCAUGUUUUCCACAAUUUGUUUGCAUUUUUUAAUUAAAGGACCAACAAUCUACAUGUUCAGAGUUCAGUCUUGGCACCCUGAUGUUUCGAAUAUCUUUCCUUUUCUUGGAUAAGACUCAAACAAAGACUCAUUAAUAUAAAUGUGAUUUUGAAAACCAAUUUUUCAACUUUUAUGUGCACUUGGAGUUCCAAAUUGAAUUCUAUUUGUUUAGUGCUUAGAAAUGCACUAAAUGAGUUAUGUAAAUCAAAUGGGCCCGAAAAAUGUCACAUUUUUACAUGGACCAUGCAAUGUUAUAUAUUUAGCGUAGAAAAAGAAAUCCAAGGCUAACAGAUGAAGCAAUGGGCGUUUCGCCUUCAAACUUGACUAGUUUCCUCUCAAAGCCUAUAUUCUUCUUUGGAGAUGGCCCGGUUUGUAUGCAGCAUACGUCACAACUAUUCUGAAACCUUCUCAUGUUUUUACCAUAGUCUCUAAGUUUCAUAUGAGGGUACCAAGCCAAGCUUCAUGUUUCUCAGACUUAGUUUGCAUUUUUAGAAGAAAAAAAAUCAACAAAGUCCAUGUUCGGGGUCGAGUCUAGGCAACCUCAUGUUUUGAGCUCCAAUUUUACCGACUUUUUCAUGACUUGCGGUUCAAAAUUGGGUUGUAUUUAUUAAAUGCUUAGAAAUGCAUGAAAAGACUUAAAUAUAGCAAACGGACCCCCAAAAAUGCAAAUUUUGGUAUGGAUCAUGUAAUUAUGUCAAGUGCAUGUUUUUUAGACUUCCUUUGCAUUUUUUGGAAUUAAAAAACCGAUAAAGUCCAUGUUCGUGGUUGAGUCCUGUCACCUCGUGUUUGGAAUUCCUCACCUUUUCUUCGAUAAGGCCUAAACAUAGGCGCAAGGACACAGAUGAUUUUUAAACCAAUUUCCCAAUUUUUUCAUGCACUUGCAAUUCGAAAUUAAAUUAUAUUCAUUAAAUUCCCCAACUUUUGUAAAGCAUUCUUGAUUUUUUACGACAACCUCUACGUGUCAUAUGAGGGUAUCAUGCCAAGUUUCAUGUGUUUACCCGCUUCGAUUGCUUUUUUUUGAAUUAAAAAAAUCUAUAACCUCCAUGUUUGAGGUCUAUUCUUGACAUCCUCAUAUUUGAUUACUCUGACACCUUUUUUAAUAUACAAGUACAUAAUGUAUAUUUUUUAACACAUGAUUAACAUUUUUUAAUAUACUAUGAAAUUUUGAAAAAUAUAUUUACAAUUUUGAACAUGUAAAAAAUACAUUUAGAAUUUUGAAUAUAUUGAAAAUUUUAGAAAAUAAACACUGAAUGUUGUCAAUUUUGAAUGCGUUUACAAAUUUUCGAAUGCAUGACGAACAUUUAAAUGUUCAAUGUAUAUAAUAAAAUUGUUCAUCGUAUAUUACACAAGAAUGUUCAGUGUGUAUUUAUACAAUAAUAUUCAGUGUGUAUUUACAGAAAAAAAUCGCAUACUAAAAGUUUAGUGUAAAUUAAAAAAAUGUCAAUUGUAUUGGAAAAACAUACACCAUUUAUAACCUAUAUAAAAAAAGAAAUGUACAAAAAUUAAAAAACCCGCAGAAUACCCAAGAUCUAAAAAAUAAAAGAAAUCUGAAACAAAAGAAACGCAUAAAAAAUUGGGAAAUGAGCCAGGACGUCUCUGAACAAGUAUAAAAGAACAAAUUCCUAUACUAUGACGUGACCAACAUUGUGACAGAGUACUUAGCGCGUGCGAGGUAGAGUUAAUUACAUGAAAGUAUUAUAAUUGAGGCAUUACAUGUAGAUUGGCAUCAACUUUCAUAAUUAAUACGAAGUCUUGGGUGCGCCGCAAAAACAACACCGGCCACCUGUUGGUUUCCAGUAAGGGACAUGUUUAUGGUCUUUCACACUAAAUAUUAUCUGUAUGAAUUCACACUGAACAUUACUAUAUAAUAUAUGAUGAACAAUUUUGUUAUGUACAUAUUUUUUAAUAUACAAUGUUCUAUUUAAUUAUACAAUGAACUUUUUUAAAUAUACGAUGAAUUUUUAAUAUAUAUUAACUUUUUAUGGUAUGCGAUAUUUUUUCAAAAUACACACUGAAUAUUAUUGUAUAAAUACACACUGUACAAUAUACAAAAAACAUUUUUGUUAUACCAAAAAAGGCUUUUUGCAGGUGAUAGAAAAAGGAUUUCACUCUGUUUUACAUAUAAAGCAUUAAUCACCAACCAACAUGGAACAAUUUUGUUAUAUACAUUGAACAUUUUUUUUUUGGGAGCAAACCAUCCAUCCAACGCGUCGCUCCUCUCCCUCAAAAAAAAGCUCGCUCGGAUCGCCUCGUAGCCAGCCGCCGCCUCCCCAAAACUAGGGUUCUUUGCCUCCCACCGGCGUCGGUGCCGGUCCGUCCCGUCUCCGGUGGCCUUAGGGCCAUGGAGGCGGAGUGGAUCUCGGCCCAUGCCGGUGGGAGGGUUCCGUUUUCAUAUUUUUUUUCGAGCUUUGUUAGGGUUUAUGUCCUGUUCAGGAAGGCGAGACGGCGGCGGCUCCCUGAAGAUGGAAUAAAGGUCUCCCCGUUUAGUCCCCGUUCCGGUGAUGUGUGUAGCAUCAUCGGUGGGCGUGUGGAGGUGUGUCUCCGGCGGAUCUGUCCUCGGUGGAUUUGCUCGGAUCUGUUCGUCAUUCGUCUUCGUUCGUGUGUCUUCAGGUUGGAUCCUUUUGAUCUACACUCUUCAUCUGCGGCGGUUGUUGUUCUGGUGCGUUGGUUCCAUGGGGCCUUAGCACGACGACUUCCCGACUGUCUACUACAACAAUGUUUGCCCGGUUCUGUCGAGGGAGGGGCGAUGACAGCGGCGCGCCUUCGGCUUGCUUCAGUGCUUGUAGUCGUCGCUAGGUGGUCUACGGUUCUGAAUGUAAAUUUUAUUAUUUCUAGUGUCCGUUGUACUACCAUGAUUGAAGAUGAAUAGAUUAAAUGUUUUUCCGCAAAAAAAUAAAAAUAAAAUACAUUGAACAUUUUUUUCCUGCAGGAUCGAUUCCUGGAAACUUGUGAUGGAAAAAAAUAUCUCUCACAGGGGCCAUUUUGCCCAGCGUGUCUAGAAUAGUAGUACAAAAGGACGUACGUCUACUUUUUGACAAGGUGAUCGCUUUGACGUUGUGGUCAGCUCGUGAAAACUACCAACAGUAGGUCGCAGGUUCGACGUACAUAGAGCACUGGCUCAAGUUAAGGAACCGUGAGUGAGUUUUUCCAUAUUAAAGCGUGAGGUUCCUAGUUCGAUGCCAGUGCGGGACAACACAGAAAACAGCAGUCCUCCGACCCUAAAAAGAGCGACGUCAGAACACACAACAGUAACAUUCCGUUAUCGUAAAAAAGCCCCUGAAGGCCUGUCACGUUUUUCUGUAGAAAAAAACAGACUUAGAGCAGCCCAACGUCGGGCCAACACAGCAGCAACAUCCCUAUUUUUGUCCCAAAAAGGCAACAUCGAAACACGCAACAACAACAUUAUUGUUAAAAAAGCACUAGAAGGACGUCUGUGAUGGUUCGAACAACAUAAAGAAACUAAGGCUGACAUAUGUGAGUCGAACACGUGUUACACAUCAACAUGAGCCAUCCAUGACGGUCUGUUUGGUGUACAGCUGGUCGAUUCGUGACGGUAUCCGUGACGGUCCAUCCCAAGGGGGCCAUUGCCAUGGGGUUUGUUCUCAUCUAAUUAAUCUGUGACGGAUUUCAUGACGAAGCGGACAAUUCCGUCAUCGAUCAUGACGGUUUCGGGGAACGUCAUCAGAAAUCCGUCAUGGAUUAACACAUUUCUUGUGGUGAAUAUUAAGAAGUAUGGAUUCCGCUUUCACAUCAAGUAGGGACAUUUUCCAUGUCUAACCACGAACCUCAAUGUCAUGUCACGGUCUCCUGCUGUCACAAGCAAAAAGUCCUUGCCAGUAAGCAAUACACUUAACAUAAGGAUUUGUAGUUAAGUCAGAUAAUAUUUCUGUGAACAUUCAUUUUGGCUACAAAUGUUCUCAAUAAUUUGAGUUGUACUACCGGUGACAAAGGUCCUUACCAAUCGGUCAGUAUGUGUAAGAGAUCCGCAAUAUUUAUUCGGCAGUUAGCCUUAUUGUAAACUUUUAAAGAUGAUGCAAUGGGCAUUUUUUGUUUCCUUUCAAUUUAUUCAUUGAAGAUAGACAUGCUAAUGUGAGACGUGGUGUUUCUGCUCCCGGCGGCAUGGAUGAACAGUAAAGUGUAGAAAAAAAUAGAACACAAAUACCGAUUUUUUUGUGACACACAUUGUUGAAUGUCAGGUGCGUGCAAAAUUUUGUGACGAAAAAACAUUUCUAGUGCUCUGCGAAAAAAAACCAAUGCUCUAAAAAUGGUAUUUUUUAAAGCAUUUCAAUGAAAAAGGGUUUCCCCUGCUUUAUGUAUAAAGCAACCAUCACCACAACAUUCGAGCAAGAAGAUACAAACGCACUCCACCACCACACUCAAGCACACACCCAAGGCGAGAUACAAAGGUGUCGGGCACUGAAAACACCACCCCAACGACGACCAAGCACCCUAAUGAUAAGCAAAGAAGAACCGCUUGGGUUGAUGGAGACCACGACCAAGAUGAGCAAUCCACCGAGGAGCAGUGAGAUGGACACGGCCGGAGCGAGGACUCCAAGACGAUGCCUUCAAGAAGGAUACGACCACAGGUAGCCGUCACCGUCUGAUCCCGAAGAUCAAGUUUUCACCCGGAGUGACACAAAACAAGUGGAAGCACCACGACGGAGCCUGCAAGGAGGAGAAUGACAUCCACGGAUGCCGCCUCCAUCGGCCAGUACCGGGACUAAGAAAGUAGUGAACCCGGUGCUCCUACCCCUCCGCCGCAAUCCCGCUCCGCCAACCACCCGCAUCCAUGCCGCCUAAGCGCCCACGGCUUCCGGCCCGCACCAAAGCCGCGUGGUCAGCCCAUGACCAACACACCUACCACCGCUAGAGCUGCCGCCCUACAUCUAGACCGCCCUGAGAACCACCAAAGGCCGUGACUUUGAACAGACCCGCACCCCAACCGCCUCCAGGACCACCGGCAAACCACCCUCCUCGAGCAACGCCGGAACCAAGAGUAGAGAAGCGUGGAUGGGGAAGGGGGAGGGGAGGAGCGGCCCACAGCCACGACCGGCGACAAGCCCCUGUGCCGGCGACGGGUAGCUCGACAUCGGAGCCCUCGUCCCCCAACCAGCCUCACCCCUGAAACCACAUGUUUUGCCCGACCCGCGCGAGACCACUGGUAGCAGUCCGUCACCGGAGAGGAGGGAGCAGAGCCCUCGCCGCUACUGCCAUGGAUGGCCACCAGGGGGCCGGGGUCUCCUGUGCCGUGCGUCGCGGACCGGCCAUAAGGGCCUGACCAGGCANNNNNNNNNNNNNNNNNNNNNNNNNNNNNNNNNNNNNNNNNNNNNNNNNNNNNNNNNNNNNNNNNNNNNNNNNNNNNNNNNNNNNNNNNNNNNNNNNNNNNNNNNNNNNNNNNNNNNNNNNNNNNNNNNNNNNNNNNNNNNNNNNNNNNNNNNNNNNNNNNNNNNNNNNNNNNNNNNNNNNNNNNNNNNNNNNNNNNNNNNNNNNNNNNNNNNNNNNNNNNNNNNNNNNNNNNNNNNNNNNNNNNNNNNNNNNNNNNNNNNNNNNNNNNNNNNNNNNNNNCAUGAAGCGGAUCUGGUCGCGCCGCCGCGAAGCAGCAACCGCGCCCCACCGGCCUCCAGUCCGCACCACCUCCGCGCCGCCCGUCGCAUCGCCCAGACUUCCAUCAAUGUCAUGUAACUUGGCACGAGGGUGAAACAUUCAACAAUGUUUGACAACAAAGCCUUUAGUUUCAAACAAGUUGGGGUAGGCUAGAGGUGAAAUCUAUAAGUUCUCAAAACUAACUUAUGGUUCUGGCACGAUGUUUAUUGCCAAAAAAUUCAUAUUGCAUGAAAGAAUUGCGAAACAGGUUCUGUUGCAGUUUUUCAAUGGUUAAAUUCCACCACAUGUUCUUCAAAAGUGUAGAAAGUCCUGACACAUAAUUUGGUACAUAUAGGAUAGGAGCGCCUCCUAUUAUUUCGUUUCACCUGAAAACCAACCUUCUUGCUUUUGCUUCCCAAUUUACCGGUCAUUUUCCCGGUGGCCGCAGCAGUCAAGUUAGCUCUCAGCUCUGUACCAGGCAUCCCCAUUUACCAUAUACCAAGCAUGUUCAUCAGUUCUGUACCCCUCCCACCUAGUGCUCCCCUGCUCUGCUUUACUAUGCCAACUUCUUUUUCCAAUUCAGUAAUCUGGAGAAAGGGAUUUCCUUUUAGAAGAUUGGUUUGUACAGUCCAAAAACUGAAUAGGCAUGUUUAUGAGCGUUAAUAUGCAUUUGCCAUUCACAAUCAUGCCAUAAUAUCCUCUGUUGCAUUAUGAAAAAUGGCUAAAAAAUUCUACUUUCAUGAAAUUGUUUAACAUUCGCAAUAUAUGGGCUGCACCGAAGUACUGCACGAUACUACAGCAAGUUGAAACUUCCUCCAGCGCUUUAUUUGGGAGUAGGCAAGUAGCUAUUAUGUUUGGCUUCUCUAGAUCCACACGCAAGUGCAGUAUGAUAUUAGCAAGUGGAAACCACCCCCAACGUACACUUUGUUUGGUAGCUAUUGUGUCUUUCUCUUCCACUGACUACUACGUACUGUAUAUGAUAUUGGCAAGUUGAAACCCAUUACAUAGGGUUGCCAGGAAAGAGAGAAUAGCAUGCGGGCUGAGCAGAUGCAAAAGCACCGAGUUGUGUACUCACGGACCACGGAAAACCCGCGUCGCCAUAUGCUGAACCCGCGUAUGCGUAUGGCGUAUGCGUCUGACAUGUGAAAGCAAUGCAAUUGACCCAACUCUUGCUUAAGUUUGUCACCACUUGCUUUCCUUCUCCUUCCACCAACCACAGCACCCCAUAGGAGCUUUGGCGACAGAGCUCCACGGGGAGAUAUCUCUGCCCUUUCACCAAUUUAGGUCUGCUCCAUUUUGGGUGUUGCUAAGGUACAUGCUCCCCUCAAAUCUUGGGUGUGAUUUAUACCUCUCCGGUUGUUCCUCGUCUAUCAGUGCUUAAUCCCUUUCCCUUCUUCACAUGCUGCAGUUCUUCUUCCUCUGAUCCCCAAGAUCAUGGCAGAAUCACUGCUUUUCCCUUUGGUGCGUGGCGUGGCCAGCAAGGCCACAAACGCCCUCGUCCAGACCGUGACCCGCAUGUGUGGCCUCGAUGACGACCGCCAAACGCUGGAGCACCAUCUGCUAGCCGUGGAGUGUAAGCUGGUCAACGCGGAGGAAAUGAGCCAAACAAAUGGCUACGUCAAGAGCUGGAUGGAGAAGCUCAAGGCCGUCGCCUACGAGGCCGACGACGUCCUCGACGAAUUUGAGUACGAGGCGCUGCGCCGCAAAUCCCAGAUCGGCAACUCCACUUCCUGCAAGGUACUUGGCUAUGUCACGUGCUGCAGCCUGCUGCUCUUCCGUUUUGCCAUGAGCAAGAAGCUCGAGGCAGUCCUCGGUAAGAUCAAGGAGCUGGUUGAGGAGAUGAACACGUUUGGCCUUGAGAAUUCUGGGAGUCGGGAGUACCAGCAACAUCCUUGGCGGCAGACGCACUCCAAACUGGAUGAAUCUACAAAAAUAUUUGGAAGAGGUGAUGACAAGGAGGGAGUGGUGAAGUUGCUGCUAGACCAGCAAGAUCAGAGGAUGGUGCAGGUGCUGCCCAUCUUUGGCAUGGGAGGUCUUGGCAAGACAACACUUGCUAAGAUGGUGUACAAUGACCAAGAGGUCAAGCAACAUUUCGAGUUGAAGAUGUGGCACUGCGUGUCAGAGAAUUUUGAUGUUAUUGCUAUUGUGAAAUCCAUCAUUGAAUUAGCUACAAAUGAAAGAUGUGACCUGCCCGACAAUAUUGAACUAUUGCAGAAGAAACUUGAUGAAGUCACUGGCCAAAAGAGAUUUUUACUUGUUCUCGAUGAUGUAUGGAAUGAAGAAAAGAGGAUGUGGGAUGAUGAAUUGAAGCCAAUACUUUGUUCUGUUGGCUUACCAGGAAGUGUUAUAGUGGUCACAUGCCGAAGCAAGCAAGUGGCAUCUAUAAUGGCCACCAUUAAGCCCCAUGAGCUAGCAUUUCUGAGUGAAGAAGAUUCGUGGGAACUGUUUUCGAACAAAGCAUUUAGUGAUGGUGUAGAGGAGCAACUAGAGUUACACACCAUUGGAAGACGUAUUGUCAAUAAAUGCGAGGGGUUGCCUCUUGCUCUGAAGACAAUGGGUGGAUUGUUGAGCUCAAAGAAACAAGUAGAUGAAUGGAAAGCCAUAGAAGAAAGUAACAUUGGUGCUAAUGUUGGAGGUAAAUAUGAGGUCAUGCCUAUACUAAAGUUAAGCUACAAACACCUGUCAUAUGAA
rnacentral:lncRNA from 1 species